rnacentral:rRNA from 1 species
UACGAGGGGGGCGAGCGUUGUUCGGAAUUAUUGGGCGUAAAGGGUGCGUAGGCGGUUUGGUAAGUCUGAUGUGAAAUCUAUGGGCUCAACUCAUAGUCUGCAUCGGAAACUGCCGGGCUUGAGUAUGGGAGAGGUGAGUGGAAUUCCUGGUGUAGCGGUGAAAUGCGUAGAUAUCAGGAGGAACACCUGUGGCGAAAGCGGCUCACUGGACCAUAACUGACGCUGAUGCACGAAAGCUAGGGGAGCAAACGGG